AUCUCUUUGCCAUUUGGCUUAGAUCAAGUGUAGUAUCUGUUCUUUUCAGUGUAACAACUGAAAUGUCCUCAAGGAGGAUUAUGACCUUUGUUACAGAGCUUCUUUUUGGAUCUUUCCUGCUAUAGCGGGAGGGUAGAGAAACGCGAGUUCUGUCGUUCUUGCUGUGGAUUUU
rnacentral:snRNA from 1 species